UCUGCCCCACGUCGUUACAGUCGCUGCGAAACCACCAUGUACGUUGCUACUACUCGUCGGAAUAAAGCCGCCGGCUGAAGAUCAACUCCGACUGCCAUUAUCUGUGGAAACACAACCAGGAAAUAAAGAAGGCGGCUCGAGUCAACCGGGACACAAAUAAGACAAGGCAAAGGUAAAUAGUCCUUUGGAGCAAAUCUUGGACCGGAGGAACGAACACACAUCGCGCCGUUUAAUUGCUUCCGCUCGUCAAGUUCUAAAGGGUGAUAGUGUCUUUUGAUUAAUGGAUUUUUUUUUUAUUAUGAUGUAAUGGUUACAAUUUUUAUGUCUUUUGGAACGUGUCGUAGAAUUUAGUUGGAAUGAUGAUUGUUAAAAGCAGGGAAUCACUUAUAGUACGAACGGGUCAUACCCAUUUUUUGUUAAAAUUAGUAUGUCAUUAUUUUUA